GACCUAACCCCUUUAGUUUUCUAAAGGAUAUGGUCUUAAACGCCGCUAAAGUGUAAAAAACUCCUCGUCCAGAGUCACUUUAGCGGUCAUACCGGGAAACUGGUAUGGGUGGGUCGCAAGAUCCAUC
rnacentral:sRNA from 1 species